rnacentral:tRNA from 1 species
GGGGGUGGAUGUGCCCCGGUGGGUGCCCCGGUCUUCAAAAUCGGUGGGUGGCCGCGAGCAGCGGGCAUCGGUGGGUUCGACUCCCAUCCACUCCCGC